GCCUGGGUAGCUCAGUUGGUAGAGUAACAGACUUUCAUCUGAGGAUCCAGGGCUUAAGUCCCUGUCCAGGCA
rnacentral:tRNA from 1 species